rnacentral:rRNA from 1 species
GGGCCCGCACAAGCGGUGGAGCAUGUGGUUUAAUUCGAUGAUACGCGAGGAACCUUACCAGGGCUUAAAUGUAAGUUGCAUUAGUUAGAGAUAGCUAUUUCUUCGGACCACUUACAAGGUGCUGCAUGGUUGUCGUCAGCUCGUGCCGUGAGGUGUCAGGUUAAGUCCUAUAACGAGCGCAACCCCUGUUGUUAGUUGCCAGCGAGUCAUGUCGGGAACUCUAACAAGACUGCCGGUGCAAACCGUGAGGAAGGUGGGGAUGACGUCAAAUCAUCACGGCCCUUACGUCCUGGCUACACACGUGCUACAAUGGUAGUGACAAUGGGUUAAUCCCAAAAAGCUAUCU